GUCCCUGUAGCGCAAUGGAUGGUGCGUUGGACUUUGAAUCCAAAGGCUGUGGGUUCGAAUCCCACCUGGGAUG
rnacentral:tRNA from 1 species